AUGCCAGAAAACAAAAGAAUAAAGUCUGAGCAAAUGACCACCACCGUCUCACAACAGCGCUGCCCUCCCAUCACCUCCAACACAGUUCUGGGGCAACUCUGCCACAACCUUCAACUCCCAGGACUAACCUGGGGAAACAAAAGAGAGGUGCUGAUCACCACCAAAGAAGGUCAUCGUGAAAGAAGGUCAUCACACGACAGCUCCCCCGGCCCACCCGAGGGAAGGGUAAAAAAAAAAAAAAGAAAAAAAAAAAAAACGAUUCAGCCAGCCACCAAGGAGAGGCAGCAGGAUGCAGAGGUCUGGAUUUUCAGACAGGCCGGUGUCAAGCCCGGCUUCUCUCCCUCGCCGGGGUCCCGGGCAGGUUCACGUGUCCCAACCGCAGCUUCCGCAGCUGUGGACCGGGAACGAGCGCCGGCGCGGAGGGCUGCGGGCGGGCAGGGCAGGGCAGGGCAGGGCCGGGCCGGGCCGGGCGGCCAGAAAGCCCUAAUAAACGUCAACCGCUUGCCAUUGUCCUCGGCUGAUCGCUGUCGCAAGGCCCACUCCUCCCGCGGCGUCCAUGGGAUUUUUAAGGACGUCCGUCGCGGAGGGGCCGCAGGGACCAGACAGCUCGGGCGCAUUUUCUCAGCGGGCGGAUGGGCCAGUUCCGCGCGCGUCGGGGAUGCUCGCCCAGCACGCGGGCCGCCGCCUCCCCGCAGGCCGCCGCGCACAGCCCACCCGGGCGCCCCCGCCGCCCCCGCCCCCGGGGCCGCCGCGCACCUUCCUCCCGCCGGCCGCGCCGCACGGGGCUGCGAGCGCCCCCCCCCGCCCCCGGUCACGGGCGCCCCCGCCCCCAGGCCGCGCCGCCCCCGCCGCACUCACCGCGUCCUCCGGCGUCGGGCCCACGCAGGCCCGGCUGCGCCCCCCGAGCGCCCGCGCCCUCCCGGGGGGGCCCCGCCGCCCCAGCCGCCGCCCCCGCCGCCGCCCCAGCCGCGCCGCCACCGCCGCAGCGUUGAGCCCGGCGCCGGCCGCCCAGCGUCUGUUGAGCCGACCCGCCCGGGACGCGCUCCCCGGCCGGCGCUCGUUGCAUAUGCAGGGAGGCCGCCGCCCAUUGGCCCGCGGGCGGUGGCGCGUGCGGGGCUGGGCCUAUCGAAGCCCGGCCGGGAGCGCGGCGCGGCCGGCGGGGGCGGGACGGGGUUACUACGGGUCGUGCGCGGAGCCGCCGCGGCCGGGACGCAGCCGCCACGGGCGCGGGGCGGGGGGCGGGGGCGCGGGCUCUGCGGCCGCGACGGGCCCCCCCGGGAGGGCGGGACCGGGGCGGGGAGGACCGCCCUUCCCCCCCCCAAAAAACAACUAGAAACGCAGUUACUGCGGAGAUCGGGAAACAACAUGCGCGGUAUCGUCAUCCUUACGCUGUUCUCGCACACAUCAUCCAAUUUUGUAAAACGAAACGAUUUUCGGGGAUGUCUGAAGCGAGAGGGGCUCAAAGAUCCAAAGCAAAUUCCUCUACUAUUCCUCAUGCUUUGGCUUCCCUUAUAA
rnacentral:lncRNA from 1 species